AUUUGAGUCCUGCUAACUUUUUAGUUUAAGAUCUUCAUUUCUUUUUUCAUAAAAUAUAUUGCGCAUGAGCUCCUGAGAAUUGCUAUCUGCUACAAAUGACAUUUUGUUAAAUGACAGCAAGAGGGUGGAAUUUUUAGUUUGGUAAGAAAAUCCAUUGGACCAAGUUCUUAUAAUAUGUUUUAAUCUUUUGUUUUUCCCCACUUUUAUACUCUGUUUGCGAUUAUAUCUCGGGUUCCUAUCUCUGGUUCCUAUCUCUGGUUCCUUUGUUCUUCUGUUCUUCAUUUGUAUCUGUAUUCUAUUUUUGUUCUCUUGUGAUCUAACUUUUGGUUACUUUUUGUUAUGCAAACAGUUUGUGCACUGGCAUUAACAUACAUCAUGGGGCAAAGAUACCUUGAAACUUCAAAAAUAAUGCCUGCUGGAGUUGUUGCUGCUCUCAGUGCACUUAUGUCUGGCUUCUAUCUCUACAAGAUUGCGACCGGUGGGAAUCACUUCCCAGCCAAAGCAGAGUGAAGUUGAGUUCUCUUACUGUGCAAGCAUAGCGAAGGCAGCAACUAUGUUUAGAAACGAGGGAAUAUUAACCAGGUUCUUUGUAUUGUGACUUUUUUGUUGCAUCGAAUGCAUGUUAUACCUGCUGGCUUCCAUUAGUGACAAUGAAGGGAAAGUACAUUAUUUACAGAUUAUCCCAAGUAGGAAAUACGAAAUAUCAUGCAA